AGCGAACGCUGGCGGCAGGCUUAACACAUGCAAGUCGAGCGGGCGUAGCAAUACGUCAGCGGCAGACGGGUGAGUAACGCGUGGGAACAUACCUUUGGUUCGGAACAACACAGGGAAACUUGUGCUAAUACCGGAUAAGCCCUUACGGGGAAAGAUUUAUCGCCGAAAGAUUGGCCCGCGUCUGAUUAGCUAGUUGGUGAGGUAAUGGCUCACCAAGGCGACGAUCAGUAGCUGGUCUGAGAGGAUGAUCAGCCACAUUGGGACUGAGACACGGCCCAAACUCCUACGGGAGGCAGCAGUGGGGAAUAUUGGACAAUGGGCGCAAGCCUGAUCCAGCCAUGCCGCGUGAGUGAUGAAGGCCCUAGGGUUGUAAAGCUCUUUUGUGCGGGAAGAUAAUGACGGUACCGCAAGAAUAAGCCCGGCUAACUUCGUGCCUGCAGCCGCGGUAAUACGAAGGGGGCUAGCGUUGCUCGGAAUCACUGGGCGUAAAGGGUGCGUAGGCGGGUCUUUAAGUCAGGGGUGAAAUCCUGGAGCUCAACUCCAGAACUGCCUUUGAUACUGAGGAUCUUGAGUUCGGGGAAGAGGUGAGUGGAACUGCGAGUGUAGAGGUGAAAUUCGUAGAUAUUCGCAAGAACACCAGUGGCGAAGGCGGCUCACUGGCCCGAUACUGACGCUGAGGC
rnacentral:rRNA from 1 species